UUUUACCUCAGUUUAUUGUACCUUCCAUUAAACACAACUUUUCCCCACGUAUUACGUGACAUAAUUUGUUGUAAAUGUAUAAAGGUUUGAUACACCAAUGGAUUGGGAAGAAUGCAUUUCAAGAUUUGAAAAAAAAAAUCGUUCUUCGUGCAUCCAAAACCCACGUCACAUGUGAACGUAACGUGCUCAACAGGAGAUUGUUUGCAGUCCAAUAUUGUGUGCGAAACAACAGUUUAAUCACAUUUUGAGUAGACGGACUCUAAAAUUAUUGAAAAGAAGGUGUACUUGAACUUUGAUUUAUUGGUGAUCAUAUACCCGUGGUUCUAUAGAGAAAGCAGAAAUUAACCCCAAUCAAUUAUACAUAUUGGGCUGGUAACA